GCUAAAAGGAAGCAGCAGACUUUAACUCUUUCCUCCCUUUGUGCAGCAUACUUCCUCAAAAGACUAAAACUUCUUUCUGCAAGGGUUUUAUGUAUUCCCUGAGUGCCCAAAGGCUCUUAACAUGUGUGCUUUCACACAGAAGUCUCGAGUGACCUCACAUGAUGGGGAAAUAAUGUCUUAUAUAUGGUAACACUGGUGUGAACAGAAGCAGCACGUUGGUCAGGAUCACUCAAAAGGGAAUUUCUGGAGUCAAGACAGUAUCUUGGUGAACUCUAACAUAGAGCUGUCAGAGAGAAAAGAAGAUGCUCUGUUCAAGAGCUGAAGCACUGAUGGGAUACUUCCCUGCUUCUUAACACUACAAGCCAGAUGCACAAGUACUGAGGAGGUGCUGCUAUGAUAAAUGAAACUCUCUUCAGUGCUUCUUUGAGGUCACAAACCUUAUACCCCCAGAAACUCAACACUGGACAGUUAUUCCUGACCAGUGCAUGGCUUCCAUAUGGCAGAGAAGGGGGAAAAUGAAAGCACCUGGACCACACAGCUGGCAACAAGAUACUUUAUGAAGUGAUAGAAACAGAAAGUAUUGGUUUUUCAUUACAAGUCUGGAACAGGCAAGUAACACACACAUGCACACAAAAACACCUUUGAAAUAUGUGCCACAGGAGGUGAAAGGAGUAUUUGCUUCUCCAGGGGUUCUUCUUUUCUAAAAAGAACUGAGAAUUUAGAAGUAAAUAUAAAAUCCAUCCCAGAUGUUUUUCCUCCUGAUUUACACUCACUUUCACUCCUGCUUACAGAAAAUGUUAAAGCAUUGCCAAAUCUAAUCAUUUUCUUGAGCUGUUUUCUGUGAAGCUGCCAUUAUUCCCUUUUAGAAAGUGAGUGGGGCUGAUUCUCCUGGCAUGAAUCACUGUUCAAGUCCUCGGGAACGCACAAGCUAAAAGUUGUUGCAAGAUCAAAACCUGCUCCUACAAAUUGAGGAUUUUUCAAAUAUUUGUUUAGCUGAUCAUUCAGAAAAAGAUUCUUUAUGUUGAGC
rnacentral:lncRNA from 1 species